GAAGAAGACGCAUUGGAGCGUACGAAGGACUCAGCUACGCUAGACAGAUCUGGUUGUUGUUUGUUUGUAAGUGGGAUGAUGUUAGACAAAUGUCAUAGCCCCUCUGGACUCCAGAGUCUAUCCAUAGCAGGAACUGGCUAAAGGGAGGCUUAGAAGAUACUGUUAGCAUUUCGUCUAAGCUCCGCCCCACAGUUACCUGGCGAUGGCCAGGCAUGCGCACUCACUUAUAAGGGGCUGCUCUCCUCACUCUGCUCUCUUGCUCUUGCCUUCUAAUAUAUACUGUGUGUGAAGUCGGCUAUGUGCUGCUCAUAAGCGCUUCCAGAUGCAAGGAUGCAGUCAUCUGUCUUUCAUGGAAUGGGGUAAGGGCCAGGCUUGCAGGUAGCCCCGGGAAGAGAGAAACUUCUACUAACGGGAGAGGGAAGGGUCUGGACCACCGAGGUUUGCCUGAAGGUUGGUGCUACGGAAGCUGCAGCACUGCAGACUAUUUUGACUUCCAACAGUGGCUUAAUGUCUCUGCCCAGGUGACAAGUGACUGUAAUAAAAGCAAAGCCUGCCUCCUUAUGUAUGAUCCCCCUCUCACCUAGACACAAACACUUAGAUCUCUACCACCACCCCUGCCAAGACAUAGUUACACAGAAAGGAAUGUUAUUUGGAUAAGACCUGGCCCUGGGCUCUGCCUUGCUCAUCACUAGAGCAGAUGGUUAGAAACUAGUGAAACCUGAGGCUGGGUCACCAUAUGGACCAGAGAAGCAAUCUCGAUUGAGCCUGUUUUCAUAACUUUAUCCCAAAACACAGCUCUUUGGACAGGAUCCAGAACUGAGCCCUCGGGAGGCAGUGAACUAAGCAGCCAGCUGUUGUCUGCAUAGCUGUGGUUAAUCUCUCAGCCACACCCCUUUGGACAUUCCUCUGCAGGGAAGGAGAAAAACACGAGACGUGUCAUAUUUGGCUGCGGCGUAAGCGCUCUGACCCUGCCAUUCUGGGGACCGCUUGCAUCCUAGGCAGCCUGACUUCCCACACAGCUGUGUCCAGGCCUGCUAAUCUGAUAGGAGGGCUGGCUUGCAGAAUGACUGCUUUCUCCGGUAAAGAUGAUGCUGUGAGGAAGAAGGGAGGAAGAGAGAGCCGAUAGAAGGAUGCUCUGGGGAGCAGGAAGAGUUUGCUCUAAGCUUGUCACAUGGCUCCAGUGACCUAUCAGAGGACAUCGUUGAUAACCAUUCGGGGUUCCCAAAAUACCUUUGGUCAUCUUAUUCCAGGCCCCCAAAUUCUGGACCUUUGCCAUUUUGUAAGAGCACUGAUAAAAACA
rnacentral:lncRNA from 1 species